UACGUAGGUGGCAAGCGUUGUCCGGAUUUAUUGGGCGUAAAGGGAGCGCAGGUGGUUUCUUAAGUCUGAUGUGAAAGCCCACGGCUUAACCGUGGAGGGUCAUUGGAAACUGGUCGACUUGAGUGCAGAAGAGGGAAGUGGAAUUCCAUGUGUAGCGGUGAAAUGCGUAGAGAUAUGGAGGAACACCAGUGGCGAAGGCGGCUUCCUGGUCUGUAACUGACACUGAGGCGCGAAAGCGUGGGGAGCAAACAGGAUUAGAUACCCCCGUAGU
rnacentral:rRNA from 1 species